UACGAAGGGGGCUAGCGUUGCUCGGAAUCACUGGGCGUAAAGGGUGCGUAGGCGGGUUUUUAAGUCAGGGGUGAAAUCCUGGAGCUCAACUCCAGAACUGCCUUUGAUACUGAAGAUCUUGAGUCCGGGAGAGGUGAGUGGAACUGCGAGUGUAGAGGUGAAAUUCGUAGAUAUUCGCAAGAACACCAGUGGCGAAGGCGGCUCACUGGCCCGGUACUGACGCUCAUGUGCGAAAGCGUGGGGAGCAAACAGG
rnacentral:rRNA from 1 species